UUGCUUUAUUGUAAUAAUAAUUAAAAAAUUCAAAAUAUCCAGUCAUAACAAAGUAGUGAUGGGAGAAAUGAACCAUUACGAAGCUUCGAAUCAAUUGAACCAGUUGCUUCGCAAAAUGAUUCACUGUUUCGAAGACGCCUGCUGGUCAAAACUGUGUGAAUGCAACAAAAAACCUGAUCAAAACAUGCAUAAAAACCCAAUCAAAACGCUUUCUUGAAAGCAUAAUAUAUUAAAUGCAAUCAAAAUAAUAAAAUACCAUUAAAAAUGAAGUGUCUGUAUAAUAGGCCUAUGCGUCUUUAAAAUAAUUAUUAUUAAUUUGCAAGGGAUUGUUUUGUUUUAUGGAGAGCUUGUCUAAGCGUGUGUGUGUGACAUCCAGUGCAUGUGUGUGUGUGUGUGUGUGUGUGUGCGCGUGUGAUAUCCAGUGCAUGUGCUGUGUGUGUGCGUGCGUGCGUGUGUUUGUGCGUGCAUGUGUGUGCGUGUGAUAUCCAGUGCAUGUGCUGUGUGUGUGUGUGCGUGUGUGUGUGCGUGCGUGUGUGUGUGAUAUCCUGUGCAUGUGCGGUGUGUGUGUGUGUGUGUGUGUGUGCGUGUGAUGUAGAUUAAACAUGAACGGGCCAAAACGGACAUGGCAGCAGGUCAAAAUCAAAUACAAGAACAUUCUGCAGAAUGCAGUGAAAAAGAAUACCCACAGACAAGGCACGGGUGGUGGGUCACCAAAGGCUGACCUUACCCCAGCAGAGGACAUGGCCUUGGAGCUAAAUAAAGGCAGGCCCGUCUUAGAGGGGAUCCCUGGGGGGAAAGAGACGAGCAUAGGUUCCUCCCAAGAUGCCACCCGCUUCAUUCAAGUGUCUGGCAGCACUGUGUUCCUGUUAGAGCCACCAGCACAAGCACCAGACGAUGCUGAUCCAGGUGAAAGCCCCAGUGCAGCAGCAACAGCACAUGAUGGAGACGAUGAUGAGGAGGAGACCAUCUCUGUGGAUUCCAGAAGGCAUGAGGACCCAGAUGCUAUACAGUGGGAAAACCAGCCUGGCAACAUAAGCUCACAAGCUAUCAGAAAGUUGUAUGGCAACCACCUCCGGCGCCAAAUAGAACUGGCAGACAUAGACAUUCAGUACAAGAAGAAAAAGAUAGAAAAUCUUGCACUGGAGUCCGAAAUAAAAAAGAGGACAAUUAGGAAACUGGACCUUGAAAUAAAAAAACUUGAGAGGGAGCUCCAAGAAGAUGACACAGCUCAAAAUAAAAAUUAGGUAUAUUCUCGUAA
ensembl:lncRNA